rnacentral:rRNA from 1 species
AUUGAACGCUGGCGGCAGGCCUAACACAUGCAAGUCGAACGAGUGGCGGACGGGAGAGUAAGGACUGGGCAACUGCGUGAUGGAGGGGGAUCAGUAACGGACACGGUAGCAACUAACGCAUACCAUCGGAUGGGCCCAGUUGGGUUUAGGUAGUGGGUGGGGCAAAGGCUCACCUAGGCGAAGAUCCCGAGCGGGUCUGAGAGGCUGACCAGCCACACUGGAACUGAGACACGGUCCAGACUCCUACGGGAGGCAGCAGUGGGGAAUAUUGCACAAUGGGCGCAAGCCUGAUGCAGCCAUGCCGCGUGUGUGAAGAAGGCCUUCGGAUUGUAAAGUACUUUCAGCGAGGAGGCGUUACUCACAGAAGAAGCACCGGCUAACUCCGUGCCAGCAGCCGCGGUAAUAC